CAGACACAAAGAGCUGCUUAGAGACAAUGAGUUACAGUGCUGAUACACAGAAUGUGAGAGAGGCUGGCACUAACACAGUUUGAAUUGUAGACAAUAGCUGAUGAGACAGGCAUAAAAUAGGACUGGCAGAUGUGGACAGAUUGAGAGGCCUCAGUGAGAAGGACUGAGCUUGAGAGGAAGUGUGACAUUAGGGCGUGGUCAACCAUCUAACCAACUUCCAUAUUUUCUCUUUUUUACGACAGACCGGCAGAUGCUGCGCUUUGUUUGACUCUGAUUGGAUGCGGGACGCAAGAUCAAAAUGAAUAUCAAGAUCGUGUUGCGAGGAUCUGCCUUUCUUCUGUUACUCGUCUUCAGAAGUUAUGCAGUUGAGAACGUGACACAAACAGAGACCCCGACACCACUGGAAAGCUCCACACCUACGUUUUAUAGCUCUAAACCCACAAAUGUGGGUCAGGGUAACCCGAAUGCGACAGGGGUGACAACGAGCCCAGAUGCGGAGCAGUUUGACCUCACCGUGACUGCGGCAAUCACUGACAACUCUUCAGACUCCCCGGUGACCUCCGCUGUGACCUUUGAAAAGAUGCCAGCCACACAGCCGGCCCGUAACACCAACACCUCCAAAACCGCCAAAGCUGUGGUGUGGGGUAAAACUUUCUCAUCUUCGUCAUCUUCUUAAAUGUAUUCUACAGCCUUUUCACUCAUGAUA
rnacentral:lncRNA from 1 species